rnacentral:rRNA from 1 species
CGGUUGAUCCUGCCGGAGGUUACUGCUAUCGGGGUUCGAUUAAGCCAUGCAAGUUAAAUGUUUUUCGUAAACAUAGCGAACUGCUCAGUAACACGUGGAUAACUUAACCUUAGGUCCGGCAUAACCCCGGGAAACUGGGGAUAAUUCUGGAUGUAUCAAGGAUGCUGGAAUGCCCUUUGGUUCAAAGCUUUUGUGCCUAAGGAUAGGUCUGCGGUCUAUCAGGUUGUAGUGGGUGUAACGUACCUACUAGCCGACGACGGAUACGGGUUGUGAGAGCAAGAGCCCGGAGAUGGAUUCUGAGACAAGAAUCCAGGCCCUACGGGGUGCAGCAGGCGCGAACACUUUACAAUGCGGGAAACCGCGAUAAGGGAACCCCGAGUGCCAGUACUAAGUGCUGGCUGUCUAGAUGAAUAGAUAUCAUUUAAUAGCAAGGGCCGGGCAAGACCGGUGCCAGCCGCCGCGGUAACACCGGCGGCCCGAGUGGUAACCGAUAUUAUUGGGUCUAAAGGGUCCGUAGCCUGUUUAAUAAGUCCUUUGGGAAAUCUGGCAGCUUAACUGUCAGGCUGCUAAAGGAUACUGUUAAACUUGGGACCGGUAGACGUAGGGGGUACUCCAGGGGUAGGAGUGAAAUCUUGUAAUCCCUGGGGGACCAUCUGUGGCGAAGGCGCCCUACGAGAACGGGUCCGACGGUGAGGGACGAAAGCUAGGGGAGCAAACCGGAUUAGAUACCCGGGUAGUCCUAGCUGUAAACGAUGCUCGCUAGGUGUCAGGCACGGUGCGUCCGUGUCUGGUGCCGCAGGGAAGCCGUUAAGCGAGCCACCUGGGGAGUACGGUCGCAAGGCUGAAACUUAAAGGAAUUGGCGGGGGAGCACUACAACGGGUGGAGCCUGCGGUUUAAUUGGAUUCAACGCCGGA